UAGGGAAUCUUCGGCAAUGGACGAAAGUCUGACCGAGCAACGCCGCGUGAGUGAAGAAGGUUUUCGGAUCGUAAAACUCUGUUGUUAGAGAAGAACAAGGACGUUAGUAACUGAACGUCCCCUGACGGUAUCUAACCAGAAAGCCACGGCUAACUACGUGCCAGCAGCCGCGGUAAUACGUAGGUGGCAAGCGUUGUCCGGAUUUAUUGGGCGUAAAGCGAGCGCAGGCGGUUUCUUAAGUCUGAUGUGAAAGCCCCCGGCUCAACCGGGGAGGGUCAUUGGAAACUGGGAGAAUUGAGUGCAGAAGAGGAGAGUGGAAUUCCAUGUGGAGCGGUGAAAUGCGUAGAUAUAUGGAGGAACACCAGUGGCGAAGGCGGCUCUCUGGUCUGUAACUGACGCUGAGGCUCGAAAGCGUGGGGAGCAAACAGG
rnacentral:rRNA from 1 species